rnacentral:lncRNA from 1 species
ACAGGGAACAAGCAUGAGCCCAUCACCCUCAUUCUGCACUUGUCAUGCAAGAGAAAAAGCAGCCAUCUCUACGCUUGCUUGGAAAAAGCACUCAAAUAUAUUCUACCUGGAGGGUAAGACUUCAGACUUUAGUCCUACUAUUAACCUUCUUCCUGCAUCAUGUUUCCUGCUCUCUGAUGGCUUCAAUCCAGUGAACACGUGA